GGCACCAUGUUGUAGUGGUUAUCACAUCUGCGUAACAAGCAGAAGGUCCCCAGUUCGUGCCUGGGUGGUUUCG
rnacentral:tRNA from 1 species